rnacentral:lncRNA from 1 species
UCGCCGGUUUCUUCCCUACUUUGUUUGGGGUCAUCUUCGUUGUAUUCCGGCUGGCCGCUUGUAUAGGCAUGGGCGCGUGUUUCUUGUCUUUGUCUUUAUUUUUGCCCUCUCUUGGAUUGUAUGGAUGUCUCUCGACUUUCCUCUGUGUUUGCUUCAUGGGCCCGUGUCUGUGCCCGUGCUUUCUUCCUGCCUGGUGGAUGUGCCCUGUUUCCUUCCUCAGGUCUGGUUGGUCUGUCGUGUACAAGUGUGCUCGUCUGGAGUGCGUCUGCAGUGCCGCUUUUUUGUGCCUUAUCGGGUCCGGGGACCGGCUGGGGAUUGUAGUCUCCCGAUAUUGUGGCUUCCUGUGAACUGUUGUCGCAGGCCUUCCUGACUCUGUGG